ACCUACGGGGGGCAGCAGUAGGGAAUUUUUGUCAAUGGGCGCAAGCCUGAACGAGCAAUGCCGCGUGAACGAGGAAGGUCUUCGGAUCGUAAAGUUCUGUUGAAGGGGAAAAAGAGCGGAGAGAGGAAAUGGUCUCCGAUUGAUAUUACCCUUCGAGGAAGUCACGGCUAACUACGUGCCAGCAGCCGCGGUAAUACGUAGGUGGCGAGCGUUAUCCGGAAUGAUUGGGCGUAAAGGGUGCGUAGGCGGCCUGCUAAGUCUGGAGUGAAAGGUACCGGCUCAACCGGUACAGGCUCUGGAAACUG
rnacentral:rRNA from 1 species